CCCUGAUGUUUAGGUGGAAUCUGUUUUCUUGCAACUUGAAAGCCAUUGGUUUGGGGCCUACCCUCCAGAGCAGGAGAAGACAACCUUGUACCUUCUUCCACGUGACAGCCAUUGAAAUAUUUGAAGAUGGCUAUCAUAUCUCCUCUCAGCCUCCUCUUUUCCAGACUAAACAUACCCAGAUCCUUCAAACA